rnacentral:rRNA from 1 species
GCGCGUUUGGAGCGGCCGAUGGCAGAUUAGGUAGUUGGUGGGGUAAAGGCUUACCAAGCCUACGAUCUGUAGCUGGUCUGAGAGGACGACCAGCCACACUGGGACUGAGACACGGCCCAGACUCCUACGGGAGGCAGCAGUGGGGAAUUUUGGACAAUGGGCGAAAGCCUGAUCCAGCAAUGCCGCGUGCAGGAUGAAGGCCUUCGGGUUGUAAACUGCUUUUGUACGGAACGAAAAGGCGCCUAUUAAUACUGGGUGUUGAUGACGGUACCGUAAGAAUAAGCACCGGCUAACUACGUGCCAGCAGCCGCGGUAAUACGUAGGGUGCGAGCGUUAAUCGGAAUUACUGGGCGUAAAGCGUGCGCAGGCGGUGUUGUAAGACAGUUGUGAAAUCCCCGGGCUCAACCUGGGAACUGCAUCUGUGACUGCAAUGCUGGAGUGCGGCAGAGGGGGAUGGAAUUCCGCGUGUAGCAGUGAAAUGCGUAGAUAUGCGGAGGAA